AGAACGUGUUUCUACCAGUUGUUCAAUCCCAGCAGCAAAAAGAUAUGCAAUUGGAACGUUUACCUGAUAACAAUUGUUUCGAUAACUGCGGUAUCACAAGUUAUGCCGAUUUUAGCAAUUAUUGGUUUUUUCGUCAAAGGGCUUGAUUCAUUUGACUACAUUGAAAAUGUUAUCAUUGCUUUCCCCAUACUAGUUCAUAAUCUCGUAUCGUUUAUAUUGAUUCGAAUUUUAAGCAAGAGUAACACGAUUUGGGAUUUGUUUCCCGUUACAAAAUUUAAUUUUUUGACGAGCCCAUUGUGUACUCAGAACAUCGAAACAUUAAAUAAAUACCGAAAGAGAACAAUUUGGAUUACGAAUUUCUUGGUGAAUUUUACCGUCGUCGCGUGCUUUCAAUGGGCGCUCAACCCUUUUGUCCUUAAUUCCAUUGUUCAGAUUGAAACCGCUAAUGGACAAAUGUACAAUGUUUUAAAUUAUCCGUAUCCUGUAAAAACACAUACGUACAAUCAGUAUUAUUUCGUUUUUUACAUAUUGGAAGUAUUUUUAUUGUUUUUGAUGAUUUAUAUUCUACUUGUAUUCGACGGUCUUUUAAUAUCUUUUUAUUUCGCUAUAAUUGGUCAAUACAAUGUAAUUACACGGUCGCUUAAAAAUGUCGGAUGGGAAGACAAAACUCAAAUAGGUAAUAAUAUAAUGUUAUUAUAAAAUGUAGUUAUUUUGUUUUUUCUAUCGGAUUUUGUCACGUCAGUCAUCAUUCUACAUAAUAUACAUCGCCUAUGUACCUACGAUUUUCAUUGAAGUUUCCCAAACCUCCCAGAUUCUCAAGACUGGGUGGUAACGCGUUAAUAGUUUAUGUUAAGUUAAUUGAUGAGUUACUAUUUUAUACGGUUAAAUUUUUAUUUAAAAAGUUCAUUUUUUUAUGUAUUUUACG